rnacentral:piRNA from 1 species
UUGAGAAGGCAUGUGCGGACGAUG